rnacentral:rRNA from 1 species
AGUCGAACGCGCAGUUUCUUGUAGCAAUACAGGGGACGGGCGCGUGGCGAACGGGUGCGUAACACGUGGAUAACCUUCCUUCAGGUGGGGAAUAACCCCGCGAAAGCGGGGCUAAUACCGCAUAACAUGACGAUGGCACAUGCUGUUGUUCUCAAAGCCGCAAGGCGCCAGAAGAGGGAUCCGCGGCCGAUUAGCUAGUUGGCGAGGUAAUGGCUCACCAAGGCAAUGAUCGGUAGCCGGUCUGAGAGGAUGAUCGGCCACACUGGAACUGAGACACGGUCCAGACUCCUACGGGAGGCAGCAGUGGGGAAUCUUGCGCAAUGGGCGAAAGCCUGACGCAGCAACGCCGCGUGGGGGAUGAAGCUUCUCGGAGUGUAAACCCCUUUCGACCCGGACGAAUGCCCGCAAGGGUUUGACGGUACGGGUAUAAGAAGCCCCGGCUAACUACGUGCCAGCAGCCGCGGUAAAACGUAGGGGGCCAGCGUUGCUCGGAAUUACUGGGCGUAAAGGGUCCGUAGGCGGUGUGGCAAGUCGGAAGUGAAAUCUCUGGGCUUAACUCAGAGGCUGCUCCCGAAACUGCUGUGCUAGAGUGCGAGAGAGGCGAGUGGAAUUGCGGGUGUAGCGGUGAAAUGCGUAGAUAUCCGCAGGAACAUCCGAGGCGAAAGCGGCUCGCUGGAUCGCAACUGACGCUGAGGGACGAAAGCUAGGGGAGCAAACAGGAUUAGAUACCCUGGUAGUCCUAGCCCUAAACCAUCAGGACUUGGGGUUUGCCCUGUACGGGGCAAGUCCCGUAGCUAACGCGUUAAGUCCUGCGCCUGGGGAGUACGGUCGCAAGGCUGAAACUCAAAGGAAUUGACGG